rnacentral:rRNA from 1 species
GACGAACGCUGGCGGCGUGCUUAACACAUGCAAGUCGAACGGAAAGGCCCUGCUUUUGUGGGGUGCUCGAGUGGCGAACGGGUGAGUAACACGUGAGUAACCUGCCCUUGACUUUGGGAUAACUUCAGGAAACUGGGGCUAAUACCGGAUAGGAGCUCCUGCUGCAUGGUGGGGGUUGGAAAGUUUCGGCGGUUGGGGAUGGACUCGCGGCUUAUCAGCUUGUUGGUGGGGUAGUGGCUUACCAAGGCUUUGACGGGUAGCCGGCCUGAGAGGGUGACCGGCCACAUUGGGACUGAGAUACGGACCAGACUCCUACGGGAGGCAGCAGUGGAGAAUAUGGCACAAUGGGCGGAAGCCUGACGCAGCAACGCCGCGUGCGGGAUGACGGCCUUCGGGUUGUGAACCGCUUUCGCCUGUGACGAAGCGUGAGUGACGGUAAUGAGUAAAGAAGCACCGGCUAACUACGUG